CUACAUCUGGUGGUUAUCCAUGCCAUCGGCUGAGAAUACACCACAGGCUACUGGACCUAGAGUGGACCGGUUACUUGGCCACCCUGACAGAAACUGUUAAAGGCUAUGACAAAAUGUUGUAAGAUCAACACCAGGGCUAUUUGGAAACAGAGUGCAAGUGUCCUGCAACGCACACCGGAAAUAGUAGCUUCUUUGCCAUGCAAGAGGAUACGCCUGAUGCACCUGAAGAAGUAUACAUAGGAGGGAUCCCUUGUCCAGAAAGUUCAACAAUAACCGAAGAAGGCUACAACUUUACUGAAAGGAGUGGGAUCAGGUGUGCUGGAGCCGUCUGGAGCAGCUGCUUUCCAUCAGCAAUCAGCUCUGCUACAAAAACAGGCCUUCAACUCAUUCACUCUGCCAGCUGAGCUCACUCCACUCCUGCCUCUCUUCCACUCCUGCCUCCUGAAUCAGCACUUAUCUUUGGAUCUCUGCACUUGGACUAGUCAGCUUUUACCCUUACUUACACACCAGAACUGCUCCAUCCAAUUUCUGACUGGUUUCCUGCUCUCCUCUGCCCAAGAGACUCAUACCCUCUCCAUAGGGUUUCAUCAAAAAACGUUCUGUACACCCUUUAGCAGUUUCAGUGUCUGUCGUCUCCAUUUAGAUUUUCAACAAAUGACAACUGCCUAACACUUUCAUACUGUCUUGUUUUUCUGUGCCCUAGAGCCUUUAAUCUAAACAGCUGUGGACAAAAGUAUCAAACACAUCAGUUUUCUUCCUAACCAGUAAACCUUCUAGCACAAACAUUCAGUAACAUCUCUUUGGCAGGUGUCUGACUAGUUCCUUGAAGAUGAAUGUCUAUUGUCGGUUUUGUGGUGCAAUACAAUUGUGUUGAUCUGCAGGAAAAGAAAAGACCUGAACAAAAGUCCCCAGCUCACACAGUGGCAACCAUUUUCCAAACAACAAUAAGUCACCUGUGCUUACAACAAGAAGCAGAGCAUGCAAAAAAGAGACGGACAUUUUGUUUCAUUUGACUGUGAAAUAAAGUUUUAAAUAUCUCUGA